ensembl:misc_RNA Metazoa_SRP Metazoan signal recognition particle RNA
GCCGGGCACGGUGGUGCAUGCCUGUAGUCCCAGCUACUCAGGAAGCUGAGGUGGGAGGAUUGCUUGAGUCCAGGAGUUCUGGGCUGUAGUGCGCUAUGCUGAUCAGGUGUCCACACUAAGUUCGGCAUCAAUAUGGUGACCUUCUGGGAGCGGGGCACCACCAGGUUGCCCAAGGAGGGGUGAACCGGCCCUGGCUGGAAAUGGAGCAGGUUGAAACUCCCAUGCUAAUCGGUAGUGGGAUCACACCUGUGAAUAGCUGCUACACUACUCCAGCCUUGGCAACAUAGCGAGACCCUGUCUCUU